AGCUUAGGAACAAGCCUGUUUCCAAUGACAACCAGACAGCUUAGGAUCAAGCGUGCUACCAAUAACAACCAGAUAGCUUAGGAUCAAGCCUGUUUCCAAUGACAACCAGACAGCUUAGGAUCAAGCGUGCUCUCGAUGACAACCAGACAGCUUAGGAACAAGCCUGUUUCCAAUGACAACCAGACAGCUUAGGAACAAGCCUGUUUCCAAUGACAACCAGACAGCUUAGGAACAAGCCUGUUUCCAAUGACAACCAGACAGCUUAGGAACAAGCCUGUUUCCAAUGACAACCAGACAGCUUAGGAACAAGCCUGUUUCCAAUGACAACCAGACAGCUUAGGAACAAGCCUGUUUCCAAUGACAACCAGACAGCUUAGGAACAAGCCUGUUUCCAAUGACAACCAGACAGCUUAGGAACAAGCCUGUUUCCAAUGACAACCAGACAGCUUAGGAACAAGCCUGUUUCCAAUGACAACCAGACAGCUUAGGAACAAGCCUGUUUCCAAUGACAACCAGACAGCUUAGGAACAAGCCUGUUUCCAAUGACAACCAGACAGCUUAGGAACAAGCCUGUUUCCAAUGACAACCAGACAGCUUAGGAACAAGCCUGUUUCCAAUGACAACCAGACAGCUUAGGAACAAGCCUGUUUCCAAUGACAACCAGACAGCUUAGGAACAAGCCUGUUUCCAAUGACAACCAGACAGCUUAGGAACAAGCCUGUUUCCAAUGACAACCAGACAGCUUAGGAACAAGCCUGUUUCCACUGACAACCAGACAGCUUAGGAUCAAGCGUGCUCCCGAUGACAACUAAAUAUCUUAAGAACAAGCUUUCUACCGAUAACCAGACAGCUUAGGAACAAGUGUGCUACCAAUGACAACCAGACAGCUUAGGAACAAGCAUGCUCCCAAUAACAACCAGACAGCUUAGGAACAAGCCUGUUUCCAAUGACAACCAGACAGCUUAGGAUCAAGCCUGUCUGGUUGUCAUUGGAAACAGGCUUGUUCCUAAGCUGUCUGGUUGUCAUUGGUAGCACGCUUGUUCCUAAGCUGUCUGGUUGUCAUCGGGAGCACGCUUGAUCCUAAGCUGUCUGGUUGUCAUUGGAAACAGGCUUGUUCCUAAGCUGUCUGGUUGUCAUUGGAAACAGGCUUGUUCCUAAGCUGUCUGGUUGUCAUUGGAAACAGGCUUGUUCCUAAGCUGUCUGGUUGUCAUUGGAAACAGGCUUGUUCCUAAGCUGUCUGGUUGUCAUUGGAAACAGGCUUGUUCCUAAGCUGUCUGGUUGUCAUUGGAAACAGGCUUGUUCCUAAGCUGUCUGGUUGUCAUUGGAAACAGGCUUGUUCCUAAGCUGUCUGGUUGUCAUUGGAAACAGGCUUGUUCCUAAGCUGUCUGGUUGUCAUUGGAAACAGGCUUGUUCCUAAGCUGUCUGGUUGUCAUUGGAAACAGGCUUGUUCCUAAGCUGUCUGGUUGUCAUUGGAAACAGGCUUGUUCCUAAGCUGUCUGGUUGUCAUUGGAAACAGGCUUGUUCCUAAGCUGUCUGGUUGUCAUUGGAAACAGGCUUGUUCCUAAGCUGUCUGGUUGUCAUUGGAAACAGGCUUGUUCCUAAGCUGUCUGGUUGUCAUUGGAAACAGGCUUGUUCCUAAGCUGUCUGGUUGUCAUUGGAAACAGGCUUGUUCCUAAGCUGUCUGGUUGUCAUUGGAAACAGGCUUGUUCCUAAGCUGUCUGGUUGUCAUUGGAAACAGGCUUGUUCCUAAGCUGUCUGGUUGUCAUUGGUAGCACGCUUGUUCCUAAGCUAUCUGGUUGUUAUUGGUAGCACGCUUUUCAUUCAGUGGGUAAGGGCUACAUGCUUGUAGCUUUGGCUUAUGCAGGUUUUUGGCAACAUUCUUGUUUCAUUCAGUGGGUAAGAGCUACAAGCUUUUUGCUUAAGGCUUGAGAUUUUUGCUGUCAUUUUGUGUCGGGGGACAUGGCAUUUGGUUUUGGGGUAUUAUUGCUGCUGUCAUCCAUACCAGGCUACAUGGAUGCACAGGGAGUUCUUGUCCAUAGCAGAACCAUACUGCCAAUCCAAACUGUAUGCUAAUUGUGACUCUGAACCAAAAAAAAACUGUCAAGUUGCUGGGGUAUAUUUUUAGCAAUAGCCAAAAAUCAUUAGGAUAUUAAGUAAAGAUCAUGUUCCAUGAAGGUAUUUUGUAAAUGUCCUACUAUAAAUACAUCAAUUUUAGUAAUAUGCAUUGCUAAGAAUUCAUUUGUACAACUUUAAAGGUGAUUAUUUUCAGUAUUUUGAUUUUUUUACACCCUGAGAUUCCAGAUAUUCAAAUAGUUGUAUCUCGGCCACAUAUUGUCCGAUCCUAAUAAACCAUACAUCAAUGGAAAGCUUAUUUUUUCA
ensembl:lncRNA